rnacentral:rRNA from 1 species
GACGAACGCUGGCGGCGUGCCUAAUACAUGCAAGUCGAACGCAGUGGGGACGGGGGAGUAACACGUGGGUAACCGCCCAUGAGAGGGGAUAACACUUGGAAACAGAUGCUAAACCGAAAUUUAUGGAUGGGCCCGCGGUGCAUUAGCGAGUGGGGGAGGUAACGGCUCACCAAGGGCACGAUGAAUAGCGGUCCUGGGAGGGUGAUCGCCAACAUGGGGCCUGAGCAACGGCCCAGACUCGUACGGGAGGCAGCAUUAGGGAAUUUUCGGCAAUGGACGAAAGUCUGACCGAGAACCGCCGCGUGAGUGAAGCAGGUUUUCGGAUCGUAAAACUCUGUUGUUAGAGAAGCGGUAUCUAACCAGAAAGCCACGGCUAACUACGUGCCAGCAGCCGCGGUAAUAC